rnacentral:rRNA from 1 species
AUUGAACGCUGGCGGCAGGCCUAACACAUGCAAGUCGAGCGAGAGGCGGACGGGUGAGUAAUGUGUGGGAAACUGCCCGAUGGAGGGGGAGAACUACUGGAAAAGGUAGCUAAUACCGCAUACCAUAAGAUGUGCACCGAUGGGGGUAGCUAGUAGGUGGGGUAACGGCUCACCUAGGCGACGAUCCCUAGCUGGUCUGAGAGGAUGACCAGCCACACUGGAACUGAGACACGGUCCAGACUCCUACGGGAGGCAGCAGGGGGGAAGAUUGCACAAUGGGCGCAAGCCUGAUACAGCCAUGCCGCGUGUAUGAAGAAGGCCUUCGGGUUGUAAAGUACUUUCAGCGGGGAGGCGUUACCCGCAGAAGAAGCACCGGCUAACUCCGUGCCAGCAGCCGCGGUAAUUC